UUUAUGCACGUGGUAGGAGAGCGUUCUAGCGGCGGUGAAGCAUGACCGAGAGGACAUGUGGAGCUUCUAGAAGUGAGAAUGCCGGUAUGAGUAACGAAAGACAGGUGAGAAUCCUGUCCGCCGCAAGACUAAGGUUUCCUGGGGCAGGCUCGUCCGCCCAGGGUAAGUCGGGACCUAAGGCGAGGCCGAGAGGCGUAGUCGAUGGACAACAGGUUGAAAUUCCUGUACUGCACCGAAUCGUUAUGAGCGAUGGAGGGACGCAGGAGGCUAGCAGCGCGUGGUGCUGGAUACCACGUUCAAGCGUCAAGUCUGAGAGCGAGUCAAAUGCUUGCUCUCAUAAGGACAAGGCGUGAUGAGGAGCGAAAUUAAAGUAGCGAAGGCUGCGACGUCACACUGCCGAGAAAAGCUUCUAGCCAGAGACGGUGCACCCGUACCGCAAACCGACACAGGUAGUCGAGGAGAGUAUCCUCAGGUGAGCGAGAGAACUCUCGUUAAGGAACUCGGCAAAAUGGCCCCGUAACUUCGGGAGAAGGGGCGCUGGUCGCAAGAUCAGCCGCAGUGAAAAGGCCCAAGCAACUGUUUAUCAAAAACACAGGCAUCUGCAAAAUCGUAAGAUGAAGUAUAGGUGCUGACACCUGCCCGGUGCUGGAAGGUUAAGAGGAGAGCUUAGCGCAAGCGAAGGUUUGAAUUGAAGCCCCAGUAAACGGCGGCCGUAACUAUAACGGUCCUAAGGUAGCGAAAUUCCUUGUCGGGUAAGUUCCGACCUGCACGAAAGGUGUAAUGAUUUGGGCACUGUCUCAACGAGAGACUCGGUGAAAUUAUAAUACCCGUGAAGAUGCGGGUUACCCGCGACAGGACGGAAAGACCCCAUGGAGCUUUACUGCAGUUUAAUAUUGGGUAUCUGUCAAGCAUGUACAGGAUAGGUAGGAGCCGGAGAAGAUAGGACGCCAGUCUUAUCUGAGGCGCUGUUGGGAUACUACCCUUGCUUGACGGAUGCUCUAACUCAGGCCUGUGAUCCAGGCCGAGGACAGUGUUUGACGGGCAGUUUGACUGGGGCGGUCGCCUCCUAAAGUGUAACGGAGGCGC
rnacentral:rRNA from 1 species